UACGUAGGGGGCAAGCGUUGUCCGGAAUCAUUGGGCGUAAAGCGCGCGUAGGCGGCCCUGUAAGUCCGUUGUGAAAGUCAAAGGCUCAACCUUUGAAAGCCGAUGGAUACUGCAGGGCUAGAGUCCGGAAGAGGCGAGUGGAAUUCCUGGUGUAGCGGUGAAAUGCGUAGAUAUCUGGAGGAACACCGGUGGCGAAGGCGGCAUCCUGGACCGGUAUUGACGCUGAGGCGCGAAAGCCAGGGGAGCAAAGCGGG
rnacentral:rRNA from 1 species